UCAGUUCGGAUUGGAGUCUGCAACUCGCCUACAUGAAGCUGGAAUUGCUAGUAAUCACAGGUCAGCAUACUGUGGUGAAUACGUUCCCGGGCCUUGUACACACCGCCCGUCACACCAUGAGAGUUGAGAAUACCCGAAGUCCAUGUCAAAGUGGCCGAAGGUAGGCUUGAUGAUUGGGGUGAAGUCGUAACAAGGUACC
rnacentral:rRNA from 1 species